rnacentral:rRNA from 1 species
UACGGGGGGGGGCAAGCGUUUGUUCGGAAUUACUGGGCGUAAAGGGCUCGUAGGCGGCCAACUAAGUCAGACGUGAAAUCCCUCGGCUUAACCGUGGAACUGCUUGGUAUACUGGCGGUCUUGAGCCAGCUAGGGGCUACCGGAACAAAUGGUGGAGCGGUGAAAUGCGUAGAUAUCAUUUGGAACGCCAAUGGUGAAAACAGGGUAGCUGGGGCUGUGCUGACGCUGAGACACGAAAGCCAGGGGAGCAAACGGG